GCUACCACCUGACCACAUUAUGGUCGCCUGGGUGGAGCUCACCUUCUCACCUGCAACUGGUCCGAGACUCCAUGCAUCAGAACCAUCUCUAACAUAGACAUCACCUCUGCCAGGGAGACACACUGUGGACUAUGCGUCGUGGGAGGUUCCUGACUGCUAGUUUGCCACUCUCCUCCCAGUGACAGUCCUCGGCAGCCCUUCUCUGAUAACGAGCCUG